CAUAACCCCGGGAAACUGGGGCUAAUAUUAGAUAGAUAAAAGGUACUGGAAUGUUCUUUUAUCCAAAGCUUUUGCGCCUGAGGAUGGGCCUGCGUCCGAUUAGGUUGUUGGUGGGGUAAUGGCCCACCAAGCCUGCGAUCGGUACGGGCAGUGAGAGCUGAAGCCCGGAGUUGGGGACUGAGACAAGGCCCCAGGCCCUACGGGGCGCAGCAGGCGCGAAACCUCUGCAAUGCGGGAAACCGUGACAGGGGGAUCCCAAGUGCUCAUGCAUUGCAUGGGCUGUUCUUUGGUCUAAGUAACCAGAGGAGUAAGGGCUGGGCAAGACCGGUGCCAGCCGCCGCGGUAAUACCGGCAGCUCAAGUGGUAGCCGCGAUUAUUGGGCCUAAAGCGUUCGUAGCCGGAUAAGUAAGUCUUUGGUUAAAUCCUACAACUCAACUGUGGGAAAUCUAGGGAUACUACUUGUCUUGAGACCGGGAGAGGUUAGAGGUACUCCUAGGGUAGGGGUGAAAUCCUGUAAUCCUAGGGGGACCACCUGUGGCGAAGGCGUCUAACUGGAACGGGUCUGACGGUGAGGGACAAAACCUAAGGGAGCGAGCCGGAUUAGAUACCCGGGUAGUCCUAGGCGUAAAUGAUGCGAGUUAAGUGUGGGGACAUCUACGAGAUGGCCCUGUGCUGUAGGGUAGCCGUUAAACUCGCCGCCUGGGGAGUACGGUCGCAAGGCUGAAACUUAAAGGAAUUGGCGGGGGAGCACCACAAGAGGUGGAGGCUGCGGUUCAAUUGGACUCAACGCCGGAAAACUCACCGGGAGCGACAGCAGUAUGAUUGCCAGGUUGACGACCUUGCUUGACAAGCUGAGAGGAGUGCAU
rnacentral:rRNA from 1 species